rnacentral:tRNA from 1 species
CAGGGAAUAGUUUAAAUAGAAUUUCAGCUUUGGGUGCUGAUGGCGGAGUAUAGUACUUCUUCCUUGA